rnacentral:rRNA from 1 species
CCACAUUUAUUUGACGAAGGCUCCAAAGGAAGCCACGGCUAACUCUGUGCCAGCAGCCGCGGUAAUACAGAGGUGGCAAGCGUUGUUCGGAAUUAUUGGGCGUAAAGAGCACGUAGGUGGGUUUGUAAGUCAGAUGUGAAAGCCUUCUGUUCAACGGAAGAAUUGCAUCUGAAACUGCGAGUCUUGAGUGUAGGAGGGGAGAAUGGAACUUCUGGUGGAGCGGUGAAAUGCGUAGAUAUCAGAAGGAACGCCGGCGGCGAAAGCGAUUCUCUGGCCUAUUACUGACGCUCAGUGUGCGAAAGCUAGGGGAGCAAACGGGAUUAGAUACCCCGGUAGUCCUAGCCGUAAACGAUGGGCACUAAGUAGAGGGAAUUACCGAUGUUCUCUCUGCCGUAGCUAACGCAUUAAGUGCCCCGCCUGGGGAGUACGGCCGCAAGGCUAAAACUCAAAAGAAUUGACGGGGGCUCGCACAAGCGGUGGAGCAUGUGGCUUAAUUCGAUGCAACGCGAAGAACCUUACCGGGGCUUGACAUGGUAGAAGUAGGAACCCGAAAGGGUAACGAACGGUAUCCAGUCCGUAACUAUCACAGGUGUUGCAUGGCUGUCGUCAGCUCGUGUCGUGAGACGUUGGGUUAAGUCCCCUAACGAGCGAAACCCUUGUUUUUAGUUACCAGCGGGUUGUGCCGGGUACUCUAGAAAGACUGCCGUCGUCAAGACGGAGGAAGGUGGGGAUGACGUCAAGUCAUCAUGGCCCUUAUGCCCCGGGCUGCACACGUGCUACAAUGGUCGGUACAAACGGAAGCGAAGCCGAGAGGUGAAGCGAAUCCUAAAAAGCCGAUCUCAGUUCGGAUUGGAGGCUGAAAUUCGCCUCCA